rnacentral:rRNA from 1 species
GUGAAUUAAAGCAAAAAGUGGAUGCCUAGGCUUGUUUAGCCGAUGAAGGACGUCUAGCCCACGAAAGUCGUCGAGGAGCUGGCAAAAAGCUGUGAUCCGGCGGUGUCCGAAUGGGAAAACCCAGCCUUGAGCAAUCAAGGUUGCUGGGCCUUUAUGGCUCGGGGGUAAGCUGGGGAACUGAAAUAUCUUAGUACCCAGAGGAAAAGAAAUCGUAAGAGAUUCCCUUAGUAAGCGACGAGCGAACAGGGAAAAGCCCAAACCUGACUUUGUCAGGGGUUGUAGGGCCUUCAAGAUCGAAUUGCUGCGGAUAGCAGAAUACUGUGGAAUAAGUAACCAAAGAACGUGAAAGUCGUGUACGCGAAAUUCAAAGCAAUCGUAGAAGGAUCCUGAAUAGGAUGGGAGACGGCAAACUCCCGUUUUAAGCUGGGGUGACCACACUCCAAGGCUAAAUACUAAACAAGACCGAUAGCGAACUAGUACCGUGAGGGAAAGGUGAAAAGAAGGGUGAAAGACCCCGUGAAAUAGUAUCUGAAACUUUUUGCUAACAAUCAGAGAAAGCCCCUAGAGGGUGAUCUCGUGCCUAUUGAAGAAUGAGCCGGCGAGUAUUCGAUUACUGCGAGGCUAAGCUAUUUUCAUAGCGAUGCCAUAGUGAAAGCGAGCCUGAAUAGGGCUACUAGUAGUAAUUGAAUGACCCGAACCCAGGUGAGCUAUCCAUGGCCAGGAUGAACUCCAUCGAGAGAUGGGGGGAGGUCCGAACCAGUGCAUGCUGCAAGAUGCUUGGAUGAGCUGUGGAUAGAGGUAAUAUGCCUAUCGAACCUGGAGCUAGCUGGUUCUCCCCGAAAUAUAUUUAGGUAUAGGGUCAUGAUUGAGACUAGUGGGGGUAGAGCACUGAUCGGGUGUUUAGUGGGAAACUGCUGACAUCUAGUCAAACUCCGAAUACCAUUAGUUAUACAUGGCACUCAGUACUCGGAAGCUAAGUUCCGAGGGCGAAUAGGGUAACAUCCCAAACCUACAGCUAAGGUCUCAAAUAAUUACUUAGUGGAAAAGGAAGUAUAGAUCCUAAGACAACUAGGAGGUCGGCUUAGAAGCAGCCAUCCUUUAAAGAAAGCGUAACAGCUCACUAGCCACAGGAUUUAUGCGCCGAAAAUUUAAGGAGGCUGAAGUAAUUAACCGAAGCUUGGGGUGUGUUUUGUUAAAUUUAUUUAUCAAAGCACGCGGUAGGGGAGCGUUCUGUGUGCGUUGAAGGAGUCCCGCGAGGAGACUCUGGAGCGAUCAGAAGCGAGAAUGCCGGCAUGAGUAACGAUAUUGAAGUGAGAAUCUUUAACUCCGAAUGUCUAAGGUUUCCGCACCCACGUUCGUCGUGUGCGGGUUAGGCGAUCCUAAGGUAAGUCUUUCAAAGGAAGAGUAGCCGAUGGACAACCGGUUAAUAUUCCGGUCCUAGUUAUAAAUCGCUAUUACUUGGGGAGUGACGACGCAGGAUAGCUUUAGUAGAGAUGUGAAGUUUCUAUCUAAGCACCAAACCAGUCUGGCCAGGAAAAUCCGGUCAGGCGCUUAUGUGAGGUGUGAUGGAACUUUCCGCGCUUCGGCAAGGAAAGUUUAAAGUGAUUUCAGUGUCCUGGAAAAACUUCGCAAGGAGAUUUAUAUCUAAUCGUACCGAGAACCGACACAGGUGGACAGGUCGAGAAGACCAAGGAGAGCGAGAGAAGGUAGUUUAAGGAACUCGGCAAAACAGCUGGGCGUAAUUUCGAGAGAUGCCCUCCCUACCGCAAGGUAGGGCGCAGCUAAAGACGUUCCUUCGACUGUUUAACAAAAACACAGGUCUAUGCAAACUCGUAAGAGGAAGUAUAUGGGCUGAUACCUGCCCGGUGCCGGAAGGUCACGGAAGCGGGUUUCUCCUUUUAGGAGAGGCUUGCGACUUAAGCCCCGGUGAACGGCAGCAGUAACUAUAACUGUUCUAAGGUAAGUAUUCGUUGCCUUAGUAAAACUUGACUAUAUGCUGGAAAAUCUGAGUAUCUUGGACUACGCAGUCUAUUAAGAGUUAAUCUUUUUGUAAUUAGUAAUUUACAAUUAGUUAUCUCAAUAGCAUGCGUAAAAAAGUUUCAAGUGCAGACAAUCAGCAGGAAAGAUUGGUGACUACUAAGCAUUAGCUUGGAGAGGCUAUAACUUGACUGAGCGUCAGUUCUGUCAACUAUAACCAAAUAGAAACCAAAUAGAACAUUAACCAAAUUGAAUAUUGUUCUAACAAUCACCAAAAUCCUCAGAGACUAUACGUCGAGCUUUUUAGCUAUCAAUGCUAAAAAGAAGAGAUAGUCCGAUCUCAUAGGCGACUAUGAGUGUGUAAAAAACCGUUUACACUUCGAUAAAAAGAAUAACAAACCGUGUUCUUAAUAUAAGAAUUUAUGAGCGAAGUACCUUGUCGCUUAAUUGGCGACGCGCACGAAAGGUUUAACGAGAGGAACACUGUCUUGAACUACCACUCGGUGAAAUUGAACUAGCCGUGAAGAUGCGGCUUACUGAUGGCAGGACAAAAAGACCCCGUGAAGCUUUACUAUAGUUUGAUAUUGAUAUCUUAUCUGGAACUGUCUAGGAUAGGUGGGAGGGUCGCACUUGGUGCGAUCCAUCAGUGUAAUACCACUCUUUUCAUAUAGGAUAUCUAACCUAAGGCCAAUGGAAACUUGGUCAGGAACACUGUCAAAUGGGUAGUUUAACUGGGGAGGUUGCUUGCUAAAGAGUAACGCAAGCGUGCAAUGGUACCCUUAGUCUGGAUGGAAAUCAGGCUGUAAGUGCAAUAGCAUAUGGGUGCUUAACUGUGAGACAUACCGGUCAAGCAGAUACGAAAGUAGGUUAUAGUGAUCCUCGUGCACUUUGUGGAAGGUGCCGGGCUUAUCGGAUAAAAGUUACUCCGGGGAUAACAGAGUCAUCGCGCCUAAGCGUCCCUAGCGUCGGCGCGGUUUGCUACCUCGAUGUCGGCUCAUCGCAUCCUGGGGCUGAAGAAGGUCCCAAGGGUUUGUCUGUUCGCCAAUUAAAGCGGUACGUGAGCUGGGUUCAGACCGUCAACUUGUGGCGGCCUCUUGCUGUGAAGCAAGUUGCAAAACCGACUCAUAUCGGAGAAGUCCUAAUUAAAUUACGAUCUGUCAGUUUCUAUUAAGAAACUUUAAUUAGGAUAACCCCGAGGGAAGUUGUAUUCCUGCAUUGUUAUUAUGACAUUAUGAAAUCUUUAUAUCCUUAUCUAGCCGGAUUAAUAGAUGCGGAUGGAAGUAUUUAUGCUCGUAUUAAGAAAAACACUACGCACAAAUUUGAUUUUCAAAUUGUUCCGUAUGUUGUAAUCUUUCAGCAUAAAAGAAACCAUCAGUAUUUAAAUUUAAUUCAGCAAAAGCUAGACUUUGGACAUAUUAGGCAGAGAAAUGAUGAUAUGCUCGAACUUACUUUUAGUAGGCAAGAUGAUAUCUUAAAUUUGCUCAAAUCAAUUCAGCCUUUUUUGCAAUUUAAGCAAAAACAGGCUCAACUAAUGCUUGAAGUAUUAGUUGAUUUGCAAAGCAUAAAUUCUGCUAAUGAUUUUGUAAACUUGGCAAAGAAAGUUGAUCGUUUUCAACAACUCAACUUUUCCGUCAAAAGAAAAAACAAUGCUCAGAUGGUUAGUGACCAUCUUAAAAACCAGGGAAUAUUAACCCCGUAGAGACUUGUUUGUUUAACUAGCAAACAGAGUUCUAUUUAUUAGAACUAAUACGUCGGUCACCCAUUUAUAUGGGUGGUGGUAUAGUCCAUACCCCUAGUAAUAGUGGGAUUAUUAGAUUUUAUUAAAUCUAUUUAUGCGUGAGACAGGUCGGCCUCUAUCCGCCAUCAGCGUUAGAUGAUUGAGGGGCUUUGCUCUUAGUACGAGAGGACCAGAGUGAGGGAAUCCCUAGUGUUCCUGUUGUCGCUGUCAAGCGCAAUGCAGGGUAGCUACAUUCCUACAGGAUAAUCGCUGGAAGCAUCUAAGCGAGAAGCCCACCCCAAGAUUAAUCAUCUCCAUCAAACACGUGGGAGACUACCACGUUGAUAGGCAGCCAGUGUAAGUAUCGUGAGAUACUAAGCUUAGCUGUACUAAUAGUUGAUUG